AGGGGAAGCCGGUGGAAGUCCGGCGCUGACCCGCAGCCGUACAGCCGCGCACAGCCCGCGCGGCAAGCCGGAAUGCCU
rnacentral:ncRNA from 1 species